GCAGAUGUGAUUUAAUGGUAGAAUAUGACCUUGCCAAGGUUAAUGUGGGGGUUCAAUUCCCCUCAUCUGCUCCA
rnacentral:tRNA from 1 species